rnacentral:rRNA from 1 species
UAGGGAAUCUUCCGCAAUGGGCGAAAGCCUGACGGAGCAACGCCGCGUGAGUGAUGAAGGUCUUCGGAUCGUAAAACUCUGUUAUUAGGGAAGAACAAAUGUGUAAGUAACUAUGCACGUCUUGACGGUACCUAAUCAGAAAGCCACGGCUAACUACGUGCCAGCAGCCGCGGUAAUACGUAGGUGGCAAGCGUUAUCCGGAAUUAGUGGGCGUAAAGCGCGCGUAGGCGGUUUUUUAAGUCUGAUGUGAAAGCCCACGGCUCAACCGUGGAGGGUCAUUGGAAACUGGAAAACUUGAGUGCAGAAGAGGAAAGUGGAAUUCCAUGUGUAGCGGUGAAAUGCGCAGAGAUAUGGAGGAACACCAGUGGCGAAGGCGACUUUCUGGUCUGUAACUGACGCUGAUGUGCGAAAGCGUGGGGAUCAAACAGU